rnacentral:rRNA from 1 species
AGUGAACGCUGGCGGUAGGCCUAACACAUGCAAGUCGAACGGCAGCACAGUAAGAGCUUGCUCUUACGGGUGGCGAGUGGCGGACGGGUGAGGAAUACAUCGGAAUCUACUUUUUCGUGGGGGAUAACGUAGGGAAACUUACGCUAAUACCGCAUACGACCUACGGGUGAAAGCAGGGGAUCUUCGGACCUUGCGCGAUUGAAUGAGCCGAUGUCGGAUUAGCUAGUUGGCGGGGUAAAGGCCCACCAAGGCGACGAUCCGUAGCUGGUCUGAGAGGAUGAUCAGCCACACUGGAACUGAGACACGGUCCAGACUCCUACGGGAGGCAGCAGUGGGGAAUAUUGGACAAUGGGCGCAAGCCUGAUCCAGCCAUACCGCGUGGGUGAAGAAGACCUUCGGGUUGUAAAGCCCUUUUGUUGGGAAAGAAAAGCAGCAGGUUAAUACCCCGCUGUUCUGACGGUACCCAAAAAAUAAGCACCGGCUAACUUCGUG